UACGUAGGGUGCAAGCGUUGUCCGGAAUUAUUGGGCGUAAAGGGCUCGUAGGCGGUUUGUCGCGUCGGGAGUGAAAACACCGGGCUUAACUCGGUGCUUGCUUUCGAUACGGGCAGACUAGAGGCAUGCAGGGGAGAACGGAAUUCCUGGUGUAGCGGUGAAAUGCGCAGAUAUCAGGAGGAACACCGGUGGCGAAGGCGCCACUCUGGGCCGAAACUGACGCUGAGGAGCGAAAGCGUGGGUAGCAAACAGG
rnacentral:rRNA from 1 species